GUCGAGUUGGCAGCUGGUAUCAAGUGGAGUUCCCCAGGAGUUGGUUCUGGGGCCUGUUUUGUUCAAUGUCUUCAUCAUUAACCUGGAAUAUGGCAUAGACUGAAGCCCCACAGCAAGGCUG